UAUUUUGGUUCACGAGUCUCGCAUCAGGUGCUUGCUUUUUCGCUUCGCAAUCGUUUCGUUCAGUCAACAGAAAACAUUCGCGGUUGGCAGACACGGUUUCUUCGGAACGGGUCGCUGUUUUUUGGCGUUUUUCUUGUCUAGUGCUCUUUGAUUUUUUUUCGGUUUUCUUUUUGUUGUUGGUCUCAGUGUGGCGACCUCCAUCGGAGACAGAUUCGGUGGCUGUCUUUGCAAUAAAUUUAUUGAAAUCAAAAUUGAUUUUCUCUGCGGUGUCUUCAACUGAACGGACGACGGAAAAUUGCCUUGCAGUGCCUGUGUGGAAAAUUAUUCGGCUCUCGGAGUCGGAGUUUGUGCUUGCGAGAAGUGUGAAGAAAAUUAUUUAUCGAGACCGAUUCGGUAAUGGAUGGAAAAUUAUAUUUUGUGCUGUAGUGCAGUCAGCAGGUUUUUGGACGCGGAGAGCGAAAAUGACGAAAAUGGAAACACGCGAAUAUCGAUUGCUUUGAUCGCUAAAGUUUAUUCACACUGGGAUCAUUGAAAGGACACAAAAAAUCACAUGCAAAAGUGCAAAUAAAUUAAAAAAUUCCUACCUGAGCAUAAAGCCUUGUAAUCGGCUUCCAACCAAUGUGUUGAGACAAACAAUAAAGAUUCCGUGGUGGUGUUGGAUAAUUGAAAUUCCAAGAGUUGAAAUACAACGAAGAAAUUGAUCAAUGUAGAUUGUGGAUGUUAAGUGCGAAUUUGUGAAUAAUUUUCGAGAUUGGAUUUAUACGCAGCCCUGUGUGCGAAAUUUUUAAUAACUCCGGAUUAACAUAAAAAUUGGAACGCAAAACGCCAGCCAGCCAGCCAGCGAGUGGUGGCGGAAAGAGAAAUCCAUCAGAUUAGUGUGUGCUGCAUGUGAAAGGAUAUCCAAAUUGUUAUCGUUUGCGCUCACUAUUCGGUUAUUGUUCCUAUCCGGGAAAUAACGUCGGAUGAAUAAAUAUUUCUACGACGGUCGUCAAAAAUAGCGUAGAACGGCGGAUACAGAGAGCGUACCUCCAUCAAAGGUGGCAAGAUGUCAGACGACGAUAAGGAAUCCUCGGUUCGGGUUGCUGUCAGAAUCCGCCCACAGAUACCACGCGAGCUGAUAGACAUGUGCCGGGUGUGCACUCAAGUCACACCCGGUGAGCCACAGGUCUAUCUGGGUUCCGAUAAAGCCUUCACCUUCGAUUACGUGUUCGAUGUGAACGCCACACAGGUUUCCGUAUAUACCAGCUGUGUCGAUAAAUUAGUGGAAGGCGCGCUGAAGGGUUACAAUGCAACUGUGCUGGCGUAUGGACAGACUGGUUCGGGUAAAACCUACACAAUGGGAACCGGCUUCGAGCGGGACAUUCCGGAACUGCAAGAAGGCAUAAUCCCACGUGCGGUGCGGCACCUCUUUGAGGGCAUAGUCCAGCUACAGGAAAAUCCGUAUGACGAGGAUGGGGUCUACCUGGGAUCGUUGCAGUUCAGCGUGGCGGCGCAGUUCAUGGAAUUGUAUAACGAGGAAAUCAUCGACCUGCUCGAUCCAUACAGCAAAGGCCGUCUGUUUAAAAUUCACGAAGACUCAAGUGGAGGCAUAUCAGUAGCUGGUGCAACUAUACAGCCCCUUACCGGACCACAGGAUGCGUUACGGUGUUUACAGCAGGGUGCGCUGGCACGCACUACCGCCUCCACUCAAAUGAACGAACAGUCAUCCCGAAGCCAUGCUCUCUUCACAAUCCUCAUCCGACGGCAGCGGGUAAUGAGUGCCGAGGAAAGUGGAAAUCCGGAAGGGGAUUUGGAAACGCUCACAUCCAAGUUUCACUUUGUGGACCUGGCCGGUUCGGAGCGGCUCAAACGGACCGGCGCAACAGGUGAACGAGCCCGCGAAGGAAUCUCAAUUAACUGUGGCCUGUUGGCAUUGGGCAACGUGAUAUCGGCCCUGGGCGACAAAACGAAGAAGGUUUCGCACGUUCCCUAUCGGGACUCGAAACUGACUCGAUUGCUGCAGGAUUCGUUAGGUGGAAACAGUCAAACCAUCAUGAUUGCCUGUGUAUCGCCGAGUGAUCGUGACUUCAUGGAGACACUCAACACACUCAAAUACGCCAACCGGGCGCGCAACAUCAAAAACAAAGUACAAAUCAAUCAAGACCAGAGUUCGCGUACGAUCUCACAGCUGCGGCGGGAGAUCGCCGCUCUGCAGCUGGAGCUUGUGGAGUACAAGCAGGGUAAACGUAGUGUCGAUGCUGAAGGUAAUGCUGAAAUUUCGGACACUUAUCUAGAGAAUGCGAUGCUCAUGCAAGACAACAAACGUCUCCAACAGCGACUAAAGGCCAUGCAGGAAACCAUCAACACUUUAACGGACAAAAAUGCCACCCUGCAGGCACAACAAGCGCUUUUCGGUUGGUCUUCCGGAAGUACCGGAGAGGGAAGUGCCGAUCAGGGUGAGGACGGUGGCGAGAGCGCUAUGCAGCAGCUUGUUGCUGGCUACAUAAGUGAGAUCGAAAAGCUCAAAGCAAAACUGAUCGAAUCCGAGCAGAUGUUCCAGCAAAUGAAGAAAGCGCAACUAUGCCCGUCCAAGCUGGGACUGAAAAGCAACUAUUCCUUCAUUGCGGACUCGACCGAAACGGUAAUUAACAUGGCGAAACGAGAACUCGAAAAGGAACGAGAACUGUUGAUGUCGCGGUCGUUGCCAGGAUUAGAGAAUGACAGUAGCAAUCAAAGCCUGGAGGAUGGAUCGGAUAGCGAUUCGGAUACGGAAUCGGAUGAUAAAACAGGGGAGCUGCAAGCGGAAAUAAACGAUAUUAGCUCGGACAUUGAAAUAAAAUCAAAGCUAAUUGAACAAUUGGAACUGUCACAGCAGAGGAUGCAGGUCAUGCGACAGCAAUACGAGGACAAAUUGAAUGUGUUGAACGCAAAGAUCGUUAAUACGCAAAAGGAACGUGAUCAGGUGCUAGCAAAUAUGAGCGGAUCAGGGAUUGUAGUUGGAAGUGCACAAAAUGACAGAAUAAGAAAAGUGAAAGAGGAGUACGAGCGAAAGUUGUCGGAGAUGCAAAGAGAACUGAAGAAGUUGCAGAUGGCACAACGAGAGCACGCAAGGCAGCAGAGGGAGCUUCAUGCGCAAGAUGCGCAACUGAAGACACUGCGUGGAGAAUUAAGCGAACUGAAACAGAUAAAGAUUCGAUUGAUGAAGAAGAUUCAGGAAGAGAACAAUAAGCACAAAGAACUUGAAAGUCGAAAAACUCGCGAAAUUGCGCAGCUUAGAAAGGAAAGCAGAAAGCAAGUUAAUAUGAUCAAAUCGCUUCAAGCUCAGGGAGCGGCAAAGGAUCAAGUUUUGAAGAGGAAAACUGAGGAAGUUUCGAAUUUGAGGAAGAAUCAACGCGGAAUGAUGAGCAUGAAAGCAGCUGGUAGAUUCCCCGUGAAAAAGUCAGUUGCUGCACAAAACACUAAGAAUCUCAAGGCUAAGUGGGACUCUCUGCAAAGAACUAUUACCAGAGCGGCAAGAAGUAGGCAGGCGGUGUUAGAACUUGAACGAGAAUUGGAACGGUUAUUGCAGGAACGGGAUGGUUUGAGUCGUGACUUGGCGAAUGUUCGAAGCAGGCAGCGGCAUGCAGAAACAGCAGAGUUAGUUUCGGAGGAGGAUACCAUAAUGGCCAAUAUGAAUUACAUUCAGGAGAACAUCGCCCAGAUACAGCAUUCCAUAAUGGAGCUGGAGGAAGGCAAAGAAUCUGCUGCGGAACAGCAGCAAAUGCAGAGCAUUCUGGAAAACAUCCACUCGGUUGAGGAGGCUAAGUUUAUUCUGGAAAAACUGUGUGGCACAUCAGUUGCGCAAGUAUGCGAGGCCGCUCUUACGCAAACUCGGCUGAAAGAACGGGAAGCGUUGUUGAACGAGGUUCAACAAGACAGCAGCAUUCAACAACAACUUCUGCAGCAUAUUCUGGCAAGGACCCCUGCGGCAACACUGUCCGAAACGAGCUUCAGUUCCGGUCAUUCACACCAUUCCAACAUGGUGAACUCGAUGCUGCAAGCGGCCAUAUUGUCCAAUGGAAUCUCAUCUGCGUAUGAAGAUCGACCGGAGACUACGGAAAACCAAGGCUAUGUGAUUAACACCAUCACUCGGAGUCCAUCGCCUAGUAGUAGCACUGAAUUCGAUAACGAUAACAUUGUCACCUACAGAAACUCCUCCAAGCUAAGACGAAGGCCCACUGUUCCUGCCGGUCAGGAUUCGCUGCCGUACGGUGGUUCCGGUGUCGGGCCGGACGUGUCCGGUUCCCCGACCGCCACCAGCAGCAAGCUUGAGAAAGUGGGUAUUUGUAUUUAUCUUGAGGAUUCGGCAGAUGACGAUGACACGAUGAAACAUUCUCCGCAGGAUGAGAAUGGUGGAUUCGGUGCUGGUUUGAUGGGCGGAAUGACCCGAUCCUAUACCGCAGCCUCGUCCAGCGAUGCACCGCCUCAUCUCCCGGUGGUGCAGAGCAAUAGCACAGCGGCAGCAACAGGUCGCACCUUUGUACCAUUGUCGAAGGUCCCUAGUGCACCAGGAUCUUUAAAAGGUCUCCAACCAGUGCCAAACAUUUCGCGCCAAAAUAGCACCGCAUCGCCCCUAUUGACUCGAAAGUCGUUCGAACCGAGUACAAUUGCGCCUCCGUCGCCCCGAAUCUCCAGGAGACCGUUCCCCAGCAAGGCGUCCCCGGGAAUCGAGGAUACCAACGAUGUUCCUACUUCGCCUCCGGUAUAUCGCCGGGGAACCUCACGGGAAGAUGCCGGUGGUGAUGUGUUUUCACGACUUGGUGCAGGCACGCAGGAUCCGUCGCCUGGUGGCAACAUCAAAGAGUAUAUGGGAAAGUUGAAGGCUGGUUCUCCACUGAUCUGUACUCACAUUGUUGAAGGCCACAGUAACUCCGUUCUGUCCAUUAAGGUGUCCAAACAGACGCUCUUCACCGCGGCAGCCGAUCGUACUGUCAAGGUUUGGGACUUGCGAAGCGGAUCGACACCGCACUGUCUUACCGGUCAUUUGGGUCCGGUCGCUGCGGUGGAGUGCGAUCCAACCAACAAUCUUCUGUUUUCCGCAUCCGGAGCUUUCACAAAAGUAUGGGACCUUCGCGAUAGUAACAUCCGGCCAAUUAUAACCUUAUGUUCCUCAGGAUCGGUCCUUCCAGCAACCGCAUCACUAUCGGAUCUGAAUCCCGGUGAGUGUUCGAUCACUGCACUCAAACUCGGUACUUCCGGGAAGCUGUACACGGCCGCGUCCGAUAAAGUCCGCAUCUGGGAUCUGCGGACAUUUUCGUGCCUCGGGCGACUCGCCGGCGGUCAUCAAGCGGCUGUUAUGUGUCUUACCGCUUGGGAGGGUCCCAACAAUACUGACCUCGUGGCAACCGGUUCCAAGGAUCACUACGUCAAAGUGUUCGAGGUCAAUUCGAGUGGUGGUACUGUGCCGCCACUGCUCAACUUGGAACCGCCACAUUACGACGGAGUGCAGGCUCUUGCGGUGGCAAAAGAUGCCACCGGAGUCGAUGCCGAGCUAUUUUCCGGGAGUAGGGACUCCGGCAUUAAAAGGUGGGACCUGCGCACCGGAGAACUCAAGCAAUCGCUCAACAACGCCCAUAAAGGCUGGGUAUCCGGAAUGGCCAUCUAUGGCGACAUUCUGCUGUCUAGCUGUCGUAGUGGCGUUAUUCGCUUAUGGAAUGUUAAAAAUUGUGAUAGCCUAGCCGAGACGAAGACCGAACAGUCAAUUAACGACAUCGUCACCAGCGACAACAGGGUCUUCACGGCCUCCAAUAAUGGCGAAGUUCGAAUUUGGCGUUUGGCUAAUAGUGAACUGGAAUCGUUGGGAGCUGGUUCUGGUUCUGGUGGAGAUGGUACUAAUUCGGGUAGCAGCAAAGUCAUUGGCAAAGUUUACCAUAUGGACGAUGUUUGUAGUUUGGGCUUUAGAAUUGGUAUUGUUCUUUUUCUGUCCACUGCACCACAUCAACGGUAGUAGGGGCUUUCGUGGUCCCAGCUGCACAUCGUGUUGUUAUUGAUUAGAACAAGUGGUUUAAGGUGACGGUAAGGUGCGGGUGUGGCGCGUUUCAUCCACCAUCCGGCGGCUGAGCGCCGAGAACAGAUGACGCCAGAGCACGGAAGCGAUGCUGGAUCGAAUGUCCUACAACUUUAGCAUGCGUAACAUUCACUCCGCGUCGACUUCCGUUUCCGGUGCCACCCAGAGCGCCGGAGCAGAACUACUCGUCACUCACCAACCAGAUAGGCGAAGACCGAUGUCCACGUCGGCAACAGCGGGAUCGUCUCCGUCGUCAGGAUCGCCGACGCACCACGGUGCUGGUGCUGGGAAGAUAUCACAGCUGUCUUCUCAGUCCUUCAGUUCGCCGAACUCUUCUACGUCCAUACGCAACAGUAGACUCUACAGGAGCCUAAAUCACAACUAUCUAGGUAUACUAAGCAAGGUGAACAGCAGGCGGUAGUAAUAGUUAAUUGCCACGGUUUUAGAUAACUUUAAGCAAAAAGACUCGAAACAUCAGCCAAACAGGCACUUAAGAGGCCUAACCAUUAUACGAAUCGACUGAUAAGUCUUUGAUGAUGAAAGUCAAUAAUAUCCUGCUUGACUCUAUUAAUCAGUAUAGUGCCUGUUUGUCUGUGAGCUUAAUUUCGCCAAUUAGAUAGACUUAUUAGCAGUGUAGGAGACUGAAAGACAUUUAGUGGGAUAAUGUCACACCCAGAGUUUUUAGUAAGCAGGGUUUCAAUCGACUUCGGGCGUUGCAACAACACAAUAAAACUGAGUUUAGCUUUAGCUGAGACAUAGCUUUAAACACCGGUCUUCAGCUCUCUCUGUCUGCGGAGGCUGUUGAUUUGUCUGCUCCCAUCGCACAACAAGAAGACAACACUUGCCUUCGAUUCCACAAUCUGUGAGAAUCCCACAAAAAAUACAUGAACAAAAGAAAGCUUCACCAUUGACAAGCAAUAGCUGUAAAAUAGGAACAAAUCAAUCAGAAUUUAAACUUCCCUUAUACUCACUCUACAUAAGAAAAGACAACGCAAACAGUAUUUUACUCACUAAUUUCCCAAAGUUUCCUCUCCCACCAAACCCGUCUCUCCAUAGUUGCAUUCAGUGUAUGAGUAGGAACGUGUAUCUAAUUAUGAAUAACAGGCCCAAAAUCGAUUGGUUGUGAUGUAGGUGUAAGAGAGAUUGUAUUAAAGUAUAUUUUUUAUCAUGCAUCAUUUAUUCAUCAUCAGUUUAUGCGCAAAUCAUUAGUUGUUAUUAUAUGGUUUUAGUUUUUAAACAGUAUUUUAAAUAAAUGAGUUUUUCUCAAUUUUUCUUUUUUUGGCCGAAAGCUACUGCCAAAAUAUAAUUAUUGUACUUACAAUGUGUUUAUUCGAUUCGAUAGUUAUAAAUGUAAAACUAUGCUAAAAAGUGCGACAUACUACUGCAAGAGUAUUUUACUAAAUCUCAAUGUAUUGAUUUGAUGUUCAUAUUUUAAAAUUUUGCAUUAUAUAAUAUAGUUUGGUUUGAUUAUCUAUCAAUACUAAUUUCUUUGUAACUUUCCUAGGCAUAUCUGUACGAACAAAAAAGAAAUUUAAUCUAAAGCAUAUGCAAUCGAAUGAAUCUGAUGUUAUAACAGGUUUUACGUGUAAUCAUGAAAUUAAUCUUUUGCGGGAAUGACAAAACAUAAUAGAGUAUAGUGUGUGUUAAAACAACUUUGCUAACUAUAGAUAUUAGCCAGUUGAAACUGAAAAAAAUAAUACAGUUGAAAACAGAAUGCCACAAAUAUAAGGCACGCUCAAUACCUAA